rnacentral:rRNA from 1 species
AUUGAACGCUGGCGGCAGGCUUAACACAUGCAAGUCGAGCGGGGGAGGUUGCUUCGGUAACUGACCUAGCGGCGGACGGGUGAGUAAUGCUUAGGAAUCUGCCUAUUAGUGGGGGACAACAUUCCGAAAGGGAUGCUAAUACCGCAUACGCCCUACGGGGGAAAGCAGGGGAUCUUCGGACCUUGCGCUAGUAGAUGAGCCUAAGUCGGAUUAGCUAGUUGGUGGGGUAAAGGCCUACCAAGGCGACGAUCUGUAGCGGGUCUGAGAGGAUGAUCCGCCACACUGGGACUGAGACACGGCCCAGACUCCUACGGGAGGCAGCAGUGGGGAAUAUUGGACAAUGGGCGGAAGCCUGAUCCAGCCAUGCCGCGUGUGUGAAGAAGGCCUUUUGGUUGUAAAGCACUUUAAGCGAGGAGGAGGCUCUUAAGGUUAAUACCCUUGAUGAGUGGACGUUACUCGCAGAAUAAGCACCGGCUAAUUCUGUGCCAGCCGCCGCGGUAAAAC